GGGCGCACAGAGCAGCUCCGGUGGCGUGCAGCCUCUCUCAUUUUCUAAAACGAUGUACAAGGUCGUUUUAUUUCCUUCCGUCUUUGCCACGUGACGCCUCACAUUUCUUGGGUCUCAGUUUUUAUUUGUCAGUAUUUUGUGGGCACUCUUGGUGAAACGAAGAAACACAGGACCAUCUUCCGUGGCACCAUGCUUUUAAAAGAAUUUUUUUAUUCCAACCUGCAAGAUGUCCAUUUCCGUCCUUAGUGCGGGCAACUUUAAACGCAUCGAUGCUAUCCCAUCAAGGUUCGGGAGGAGGAGGUGGGAAAGUUCAACUCUGUUGUUCACCGCAGCACACUUUCUAGAUUCUGCAUUAGAGACAGUCACUCCCCAUGAAAGAGGCGCUGAUGAAACACGUUAGAACGUGCUCACACAGCCUUCAGAGGGUCUGUAUAGAUGUCCACCGAUGUACCUUGACCACAUGUGUUUGCAAUUGAAAAUUAAAGUCGACACACUGCAGGAGGAAUAACGCGCGGCUCACCGUUAAGUAGGGAGUUGCGGUAGGUUCCGGGAGUAACUUUCAAAGAAUUAACAACCUUGUCCUCUGUUCCUAAGGUACUAAAGCCUUUUUUUAAAAACUUAAUGUUGAAAUCCAGCAUUCCUGGUGAAGGCAUUUGUGUUCAUCCAUUCUGUGGUUUUUGUAGGGCUCUUUCUCCCCCGCCACCCCCACUCCAGAAUCUUUUCACCAAGGUGUGUCUAGGCAAUGGCCCUUUUUCACUCCUGCUCCGACAUUUGAUGAGGUCUUAGUUCUGGGAUUUUUUUUCUAUCACCACUUUCCACAUCCUCCCUUUCUUCCUUGGAUCUGUGCAUUACGUUCUCAUGUUCACUUCAUAAUUUUCUUUUUCUUUAUGUUGACUGUCAGAUCAAAUGUUUGGCCCAAUCUAUCUGUAAACUAAUGAACUUUCUCUUUAUGGGUUUCCAUGCUGCUGUUUAGCCUGUGGAACUGAGCUUUGACUUUCCACAGUAUAAUUUACAAUUCACCAGCUCUCUCGUUGAUUCUGUCCCCCCAGUGAUGUGGUCUGCAGUGUCCACGCCACCUCCAUGAGGACUGUAAUAAUCUUGUUUAAACUAUCGUCCUCAUUGCCAUACUCGAUCUGUCCCCUUGUACGCCAUCCGUCAGCUACUGCUGUGAUGCUGCCGCAUCACCCAUGAAUCUGAAAAGCAAGCAGCGGUUACAAUCGUAAGCAUUUAUUUUUCCUGUUGGGAUGUCUGCAGACGCGGGUGGUUCUGCUUUAGAUGGCUCUUGGCCGAGCCGGGCUCCUGAAUUCGCUUGGAUUUGGGGCUACCCCACUUCCCAUUCUUCUUAGACCAACCACAACCUGAGGGCCUGUUCUCCUCCUGGUGGGUCUCACCGGGAUCCACGAGCCCUGUCGAGACAAGCACGUCUGAAGCCUUGACUCACUGCCACAUCGGCUAGCAGUGAUUUUUGUUUUUUAUGCUCGGCCCUGGAUUCGACCAUUCUAACUAGUGUUUCUGUGAGUGUCCUCCUUAAGCCCUGCCUUUUUGUGGAGGAGGCAGGACUUGGUGCCAGUACGGGCCUACCUGAGCCUUUCUCUGACGAUGGCAGAGCAGAUGCCAUCGAUGUGCUGCACUUGUCUCUCUGGCACACCCUGUCUGGCACAUGCUGCCUGCAUGUCGAACUGUCUGCCUAGGGCUUUCUCGGGCCCAGGGAGCUCCGAGCAGGCCUCAGAGGAUGGGAGCCAGGGGCCAGGGGGCUCACACGUGUCCAUCCAGUCACGGACCGGAAGUGGAAUCCAAGUGCUCCGGAGUCCUAGUCUCUCGGGGGGACCCCUGGGAGGGCGUCUUGCCUGGUCUGGCAGGCGUCUCCAGCAGGUCUGAGCCCCAGCUGCUCGCGGGCUGGUCUGCCCUUGACCCAGCCUGUGCUGACGUGCUUCCCCACCUCCUCCUCCUCCGCUCUCCCGUGGGCGCUUCCUUCCCUGCCUUCUGAUCCCACCUCCGCAGCGGCCUCUGAGGGACUCGGCUCAGGACACAGCCGGGACCCGAGGGAUGAAAGGUGACAUGCGGAUCACGGUCGUCUGAUGCUCUUCAGAACUGCCCGAAGGGGCAGCGACCCCGAGCUCAGCAAAAGGGAGCAAGCCGCCCCCCACGCGAGGAAUCCCGGUCACGUCGAAUGGCCGUGAACUUCCCGUGCUUUUCCUUUCCGACCGAAAAACUAGGACCGUGGCGUCUGCGGUGUGCAUCACACCUUGGAAGAGGCGCUGAAGCAAGCUGCUCAAGAUGUGAUGGUGGGUCCCCAGUUUCCUCACGGAAAGAGACCCCGAAGCGAGGCGCGUGUCCUCAGAGUGCCCGAGGCUGUCGGGCCCGGGUUCCGGGCCCGAGGAAGGUGGGACUGACGCAGUGGGCGUCGCAGCUGCCACGCCGUCCCCUGCCUCGCCUCCACCCCCGGCCUCCAAGAACAAGACGGCCACGCUCUUCGUCCGCGGGUUCAGCCGGGGCAUCAUUGUCCUUUGCCCGGCGCCAGCCGGCCUGGGAACGACGGUGGCCAGGGCGAGGGGGGCCAGAUUCCCGAAGGGGAGCGUUGUAGCUCAGGACACGUCCCUGGAGGCCACUAGGUAGAGACGCAGCCUAGACGGUCACGUCAGAGUGAGCCUGCUCGCUCGUUAGAACGGCGGAGAGGGAGACGCUGCCAGGAGGAGCUUCCUUUGAGCCAAGGCUUGCGCAGGAGGCUGUUUCAGAGAAGUGAGGAGGGUUCCAGGCCCAGGAGAGGGCGGUGAGCGUUGGCUGAGAACUGGCAUUUUCAGAAAGGGGCAGAGGAGAGAGAGAGAGAGAUGGACGGGCCUGGAGGAGCGUGUGAUCCCACUUUGCAGAACGAAACAAAACAACCUCGGGGAGGUCCGUUGUGGCUCAGUGGGUUAAGGACCCGAUGUUGUCUCUGUGAGGAGGCAGGUUUGAUCCCUGGCCUCACUCAGUGGGUUAGGGAUCCAGUGUUGCUGCAAGUGUGGCCUGGCCAUGGCUGUGGGGUAGGCCUGCAGCCACAGCUCCGAUUCAACCCCUGGCCCGGGGACUUCCAUAUGCCGCAGGUGCAGCUAUAAAAGAAAAAAAAGAAAAAAAAAAAAAAA
rnacentral:lncRNA from 1 species